rnacentral:rRNA from 1 species
UACGGGAGGCAGCAGUGGGGAAUAUUGCACAAUGGGCGCAAGCCUGAUGCAGCCAUGCCGCGUGUAUGAAGAAGGCCUUCGGGUUGUAAAGUACUUUCAGCAGUGAGGAAGGUUCAUGCGUUAAUAGCGUAUGGAUUUGACGUUAGCUGCAGAAGAAGCACCGGCUAACUCCGUGCCAGCAGCCGCGGUAAUACGGAGGGUGCGAGCGUUAAUCGGAAUUACUGGGCGUAAAGCGCAUGCAGGUGGUUUGUUAAGUCAGAUGUGAAAGCCCGGGGCUCAACCUCGGAAUUGCAUUUGAAACUGGCAGACUAGAGUACUGUAGAGGGGGUAGAAUUUCAGGUGUAGCGGUGAAAUGCGUAGAGAUCUGAAGGAAUACCGGUGGCGAAGGCGGCCCCCUGGACAGAUACUGACACUCAGAUGCGAAAGCGUGGGGAGCAAACAGGAUUAGAUACCCUGGUAG